rnacentral:lncRNA from 1 species
CCCAAGCAGCUUAGGUGAUAGAAACCUAAGGAGCUUAAUAGCUUCACGAUGCCAUAUAACGUAGGGGGAAUCUCCUUGCAUGGGGAAUCUGAUCGGGGAGAUCUGAGUCACGGUGACAGCCUCAGCAAACAGGCAGGCCCUGAAGUAAGGGAGCGUGUGAUGAGCUCAGAGGAGAUGCUGAAUUGAGUGCUUAGGGCCCAGCUCUGAAGGUCUGCAUGCUCUUAAAUCCUGAUGAGCUCAACGAGCACGGAAGGAGCUCAUCACCUCAGAGGAUCAGGCAGAUAUUGAAGCCAGUGAAGCCUUGCUGAAGCCCAUGUCACAUGCUUAAAAAGGUCAGUCACAUAUUUAUAAAAGCCCGUCAGAGCUGAAUUGCGCCCUGAUUGAGAUUAUACUGGAAGCAAGACACAUGAUUGUGCUGAUGUUUACAUUAUUCCCCGAGAAGGUAAAAUUCAGGCAUUUAUUUUUGAUGGUUUAGCGCAGCGCAGAGCUGGCAGCCUGAUUUGUAUUCAACUGCUGCAUAUUGAGGCUGGUCAUCGGUCUUGUAAAUGGUAGAUAGGAGGAAUUGCUACAGCAGAGAAAUAUUUCCUCUGUUUUAGGAUAGAUUUUAACCAUAGCCCUCUGACUCCUGAUAACUGAAGCAAGAGUUAUGUGUCUGGCGUUCUCUGCCCCACACUCCUGGUUAUUUAUUCUGUGAUGUGCAGGAAGGAAGGAGACGUGCGCAAUCUCCAUUCUUGUUACCAGGAAUUGUGCACCUAAUUCUCUGUGCAUUGUACUGAAAAUGAACUAGUAAGAUGUGUUCUGCAUCAGCAAAAAGGCUCCCUUAUUCAGCUGGAAUGAGAACAUGCACGCUAUAACUCGGGAGUAAAGAAAAUCGCUGUAAACGAUUUCUUUAAACAGAGUCUGUUGGGUUUUUCCUUAAAUUUUUGCUGAGAGUGAAGAUUCUGCAGGUUUAUUUUUCCUCCUUUUUCCUACCCAAUUGCUAACCUUUCAGUUGCAUGCGUUUCUGCUGCUUCUAGCACUUUUCAUUCUGAUGGCAGUUUUUCAUCUCUUCGCUGGCUUAUGGCUAAAACAGUCCUUGUAACAGGAAUUUCAGUUACUUACUCUCCAGAAUAAUUAUUUCCAUUUGUUCCCAUUCCAGCCUGGGGGAAAGGGCUUCCUCGUGUCUCGCCUUGAUGGAUCCGUCCUC